GGCUGGAUAGCUCAGUCGGUAGAGCAUGAGACUCUUAAUCUCAGGGCCAUAGGUUCGAGCCCCAUGUUGGGUG